CCGGAUCCCAUCAGAACUCCGC
rnacentral:snRNA from 1 species